rnacentral:rRNA from 1 species
CCUACGGGAGGCAGCAGUAGGGAAUCUUCCGCAAUGGACGAAAGUCUGACGGAGCAACGCCGCGUGAACGAUGAAGGCCUUCGGGUCGUAAAGUUCUGUUGUUAGGGAAGAACAAGUGCUAGUUAAAUAAGCUGGCACCUUGACGGUACCUAACCAGAAAGCCACGGCUAACUACGUGCCAGCAGCCGCGGUAAUACGUAGGUGGCAAGCGUUGUCCGGAAUUAUUGGGCGUAAAGCGCGCGCAGGCGGUUUCUUAAGUCUGAUGUGAAAGCCCCCGGCUCAACCGGGGAGGGUCAUUGGAAACUGGGAAACUUGAGUGCAGAAGAGGAAAGUGGAAUUCCAAGUGUAGCGGUGAAAUGCGUAGAGAUUUGGAGGAACACCAGUGGCGAAGGCGACUUUCUGGUCUGUAACUGACGCUGAGGCGCGAAAGCGUGGGGAGCAAACAGGAUUAGAUACCCUGGUAGUCCACGCUGUAAACGAUGAGUGCUAAGUGUUAGAGGGUUUCCGCCUUUAGUGCUGAAGUUAACGCAUUAAGCACUCCGCCUGGGGAGUACGGUCGCAAGACUGAAACUCAAAGGAAUUGACGG